AGGUGCUCUCCUGCUGACCUCUCCAGGUGCUGACCAUCUAUUAUUGGCCCUGGCAUCAAACUGUCCUGGUUUAAUGGGAACCUCAGCUUUCUGCUACAGAAAAGGAAUAUGAUGGAUGCCUUGUUCUUCCUGAGCCCUGUUGUUAAGGAACUGCUGGAAUCCUGAAGCAGACCUCACUGUUAACUGCACUCCU